CUCCUCCGCCGGCGAGUUUUCCGGCACGGUGGAUGGUGGUUCUGUGUGAACUGAAACAAAAGAAACACGAAAACGCAGCGUAUUAGUGUAGCUGAAAAGUGAAAACCAUACUAUAAUAGAAGAGAAAGUGUGAAACUGAGCGUUACGGAGUGGCGCGUGGAUUUCGUGGUGGUCAGCCAUAGAGUUCCGGCGAAGUUGGAGAAGUGAAUUUAUUAUCCGGUUUGGGGAAAGCUUUUCUUUGGAUUGAAUCAUGAGAUUGAAAAGAUGAGGAUCCAGGGAGAACGACAUGUGAGGACUGUGUGUGGAGUUCAACGCUUGCAGCUGGAGUGUGUUGCAAGUUGCAACUAUAUGCAAUCAUAGAACUGGAUAAUUAAUUGUAUCUGAAGAAAGGAAAACAAAAAGCAAGAGUAGGAACGUGUCAUAAAACUCAUAAUCAAUCAUAGUCAACAGGGAACACAACACUAUUGAUCGCUGUACGGUAGCCAGUUAAUUAAUAUGUUAUGCAAUCGUCUUCUUCAUGCC